GACUGCACGGGAUAAUCGAUUAUCCCGUAUGGUCGGCCCGCCCGUACGGGAUAAUCGAUUAUCCCGUGCGGUC
rnacentral:pre_miRNA from 11 species